rnacentral:rRNA from 1 species
CCUACGGGAGGCUGCAGUGAGGAAUAUUGGUCAAUGGCCGGAAGGCUGAACCAGCCAUGCCGCGUGAAGGUCAGUGCCCUAUGGGCGUUAAACUUCUUUUGUGCGGGAGCAAUAAUGGUCACGUGUGGCCAGACGAGAGUACCGUACGAAUAAGCAUCGGCUAACUGCGUGCCAGCAGCCGCGGUAAUACGGGGGAUGCAAGCGUUAUCCGGAUUUAUUGGGUUUAAAGGGUGCGUAGGCUGUGAGGUAAGUCAGCGGGGGAAUGCCCCCGCUCAAAGGGGUGAAGUGCCAUUGAUACUGGCUGGCUGGAGUGCGGAUGCGGUGGGAGGAAUGUGUGGUGUAGCGGUGAAAUGCGUAGAUAUUAGGAGGAACACCAGUGGCGAAGGCGGCCUACUGGACGGUGACUGACGCUGAGGCUCGAAAGCGUGGGGAGCAAACAGGAUUAGAUACCCGAGUAGUC